UGAGGGAUAUUGGUCAAUGGGCGCAAGCCUGAACCAGCGACGCCGCGUGGGUGAAGAAGGUCUUCGGAUCGUAAAGCCCUUUUCCCACUGAAGAGGAAGGACGGUAGGUGGAGAAGAAGUCUCGGCUAACUACGUGCCAGCAGCCGCGGUAAAACGUAGGAGACAAGCGUUAUCCGGAGUUACUGGGCGUAAAGGGCGUGCAGGUGGCGUCUUAAGUCUGUUGUGAAAGCGCCUGGCUUAACCGGGCGAGGCCAAUGGAGACUGAGAGGCUGGAGGACGGCGGAGGGGUGUGGAAUUCCGGGUGUAGUGGUGAAACGCGUAGAGAUCCGGAGGAACACCAGAGGCGAAGGCGGCACUCUAAGCCGUACCUGACACUGAGACGCGACAGCACGGGGAGCAAACG
rnacentral:rRNA from 1 species